GUGGCUCAGUGGGAGAGUUGUCCCAUACACGGAAAGGUCUCGGAUUCAAUUGUGGUCAGGGCACAUACCUGGGUUGCAGGUACAAUCCCUAAUGAGGGCACAUAUAGGAGGCAACGACUGUAUGUUUCACUCUCUUAUUCAUGUUUCUCUCUCUCCCUAAAUCAAUAAAAGCAUAUCUUUGUCCUCAGGUAAGGAUUUAAAAAAAGGAAA